rnacentral:hammerhead_ribozyme from 1 species
AUCUAGUUGAUAAGUUCCAAAUAGGACGAGACGUAUGUCCUUGAU